rnacentral:piRNA from 1 species
UGUCAAAAGGGAUGUAACAGAUGAAGUGGU